rnacentral:lncRNA from 1 species
CAAGGCCAUCAUUGGACACCUCCUCCAGGAAGCCCUGCUGGAAUGACCCAGAUUCAGCCACUUGACUCCCAGGUCUUCUUAAGUGAGGAGACGUCUCCAGCCUUGCUUCAAUACAUGCUUUCCAACUUCUGCACCUGUUCCACGGUUCCGUCCGCCUGAAGGCUCUCUCACUCUCCUCCAGAAAGACUUCCAUCUCCCUGCAGGGAAACUGGACACAUGGAGACAUUGAGCCACUGCCCAAAGUUACACAGGAAAGCCAGCUAUGUCAAUGUGGACACUCGAGCAGUCCUCUGGAGUGAGCCACAUGGUGAAAAAUGGAGUCCUCCUGCCACCAGCCAAAAGGGACUUGCCAACCUUGUGACUGAGCCGGCCCAGACACUCCAGCCCCAGUUAAACCUUUGGAAGACUGUGGCCUCACCAACAUCUUGACUGCAACUUCGUGAGAGACCCAGAGCUAGACCCAUGCAACUAAGCUGCUCCCCAAUUCCUGGCCCACAGACACUGGGAGAGAUAAUACAUGUUUAUUUCUGUUUGAAGCUGCUAAGUUUUGGGUAAUUUGUUUUGCAGCAAUAGGUAAUUGAUAGCAUUAGGAAACAUUAGCUAAUGCUAACAAUGUUUUGCAGAUGAGGGAAUUGAGGCAUAAAAGUAACUUGCCCCAGGUCACACAGGUAACAAGUCGUUUAAACCAUGGCAGUUUGGAUCUAUGUAAAGUUCAGUAAUAAAUUAGAAUCUCUCUUUUACAGGAAUCAGGACACUUUGCCUGCUCAGAGGGAGAGAGGGAAAGAGACAGAGACACAAACACAGAGAGACAGUGACAUGGAGAAGUGCGCCGUGGGCUCACAGUACCAUGUGAAGGACUGGGGCUGCCCUUCUGUAAAGUGAAGGCAGUGGAGAAGUGAAGUGAAGUGCUCUCUCUGCCUCCAGACCAGAGCUCCUCCAGGGAAAAGGUGGAGUCUUGUUCGUCUGUGUCCCUCACCUAGCAUAAGGCCUGCCAGAGCAGGCUGGGCGAGGUGAACACAGAAGGUCCUCUGGCCCUGGUACUGGAGAGGCAUCAUCACUGGGGACAGAGUGAGAACCAGGAUGAUGCUGUUUGUUACUGGAGGAGCUCCCAUUGGAUGGAGGAGCCAACAACGACAGGCCAGUGUGAUCAGGGAGAUUGGGACACACAGUGCCGUGGGGGCCCAGAGGAGCAGGGAGGAUCUCUGUGGAGGAGGCGAGAAGUCUUCCCAGAGGAGGAGGCAUUUGAGGUGAGGCCCAAACGGUAAACAGAAGCCAACCCAUGCGGGAGUGUUCUAGGCAGAGGGCAUGGCCUAGCAGAGGUCACAGCCUGGCAAAGUUCUGAAGCUCCAGUUCCUGGGGGGCAGUGUGAAAGAGUAGGCUGCUGGGGCUCCCAUGGCUCUGGAGACCAACAUGGGACUUGGGAGUGGCAGGGUGCCAUAUUGACAGCAGGUGAAAUAUCACCUACAUCUGUCUCAUGGGGAAUUCAUUACAUUUUGGGUUGGGUUUGGGAGUUUUCUUUGGAAACUCAGGGUAGGCAGGGUCUGUAAGCUUGAGUCAGCCCAGGAUGGAGAGGCAGGGUAGGGGAGAACCAAAGUCACCUGGGUGGCCGAAGCUUUACCAGGACCUCAGUGUCCAUUUGGUGUCUUGUGUGUUUCAAGGACUGAGCUUUCUCCCUUUGCCCCUCACAGAAAUUAACCAGUUUAUGUGCCCUGAAAAAUUCCCACUUCCACCCUCUGGGUUCGCAUGCUGGCUCAGUCACUUACUAGCUGUGUGACCUCUCUGCUGCUUAGCUUACUCAUCUGUAAAAUGGGAUAAACACAAAACCUGCCUGAUGGAGAUGUCGUAAGGAUCAAAGAGGAAAAAGAAUUUAAAACAUUUAGAAUGGUGCCUGACCCCCAGCAAGUAUACAAUAAAUAUUGGCUAUUGUUGUUAUUUUAUGUGGUUUUCUUUUAACUUUUUCAAGUAAAUAUAACUUACCUCAUGCUUGUUAUGUGUCAGGCCUUGUAUUUAUCCUCUGAAGACAAAGAUGAGGAAGACAUAGUCCUCCUAGGGGUACAAAUCCUUCAAUAAAGGCAGAAACAAGCAUUGGUCAAAUGUGCCCUGUGCCAAGAAUCCAGGAAUGCAGGAGAGCGGGCUCCUGUCCUCCAGCAGCUCACAGAGUGACGAGGGAGACAGUUGCAUAAGCAGACUGUGGCAACACAGGGUGGUCAGGGCUGCGGCAAAGGGAAGCCCAGGGACUGCAGGAGCCCGGGGAAGUGGCCCAAAGUGGGUGGAGGCUGAGAGGAGCCAGAAGGACCUCUGCUGAGGGGACUGUUGAGAGACAAGGAUUUGCCCACUUUGGCAACUGGCAUCCUUCUCCCUUGGGGAGGUCGGGGGAUGCCUGGGCUCAGUCUUGAUUCUGGGUAUUGGAAAGCCAUCAGGGUUUUGUGAACAGGGAAUUAUGUUUGAAUAAUAGUAACAAUAACUAACAUUUCUCAUGCAGCUACUAUAUACUGUAUGCUGUGCGUACACAAUCUCAUCUCAUAUCCUCACCACAAUGCUGUGAGAUAAGAAAGUGAGACUGGGAGAUAGGAUUGACUUUCCUAAGACCACAGAGUGGAGGAGGAGGAGGGACUGAGUUGGAUAGGUCAGUUUGGGCAGCAAGACGGGCUUCUAUCUUUAUCCCACAGUCCCAGGCACCAUUGUGCUUGACACAGAAUCCAAACUCCCAGCUGUGGCCUACAAAGCCCUGGUGAUCAGGGCCUUGCCAACUCCCUCCAGCCUCACCUGAGGCACCCACUCCUUCCCUGUCAUCAGGCCCCGGCCCACCUUGAU